rnacentral:rRNA from 1 species
GAUGAACGCUGGCGGCGUGCCUAAUACAUGCAAGUCGAGCGAACGGACGAGAAGCUUGCUUCUCUGAUGUUAGCGGCGGACGGGUGAGUAACACGUGGAUAACCUACCUAUAAGACUGGGAUAACUUCGGGAAACCGUAGCUAAUACCGGAUAAUAUUUUGAACCGCAUGGUUCAAAAGUGAAAGACGGUCUUGCUGUCACUUAUAGAUGGAUCCGCGCUGCAUUAGCUAGUUGGUAAGGUAACGGCUUACCAAGGCAACGAUGCAUAGCCGACCUGAGAGGGUGAUCGGCCACACUGGAACUGAGACACGGUCCUGAGUCCUACGGGAGGCAGCAGUAGGGAAUCUUCCGCAAUGGGCGGAAGCCUGACGGAGCAACGCCGCGUGAGUGAUGAAGGUCUUCGGAUCGUAAAACUCUGUUAUUAGGGAAGAACAUAUGUGUAAGUAACUGUGCACAUCUUGACGGUACCUAAUCAGAAAGCCACGGCUAACUACGUG